rnacentral:rRNA from 1 species
UACGAAGGGGGCUAGCGUUGUUCGGAAUUACUGGGCGUAAAGCGCACGUAGGCGGAUAUUUAAGUCAGGGGUGAAAUCCCGGGGCCCAACCCCGGAACUGCCUUUGAUACUGGGUAUCUCGAGUCCGAGAGAGGUGAGUGGAAUUCCGAGUGUAGAGGUGAAAUUCGUAGAUAUUCGGAGGAACACCAGUGGCGAAGGCGGCUCACUGGCUCGGUACUGACGCUGAGGUGCGAAAGCGUGGGGAGCAAACAGG